UUGUCACCACAGAGGAAUCUGUCACUACAGAGAAAGAUGUGAUCACAGUGGAAUCUGACAGAAAUGGGCUUUAUUUGUAUCAGGAGGUGUGGAUUCCAGUGGUUGCUCUGCUGAUGGUGAUUGUGAUUAUUGUGUCAGCUGUAAUAUGCAGGAAGAGGCGCAACAGAAAUAACACCAAUGUGAACAGAGACUGAGCCAGUGACGCAGUGAAAACCACUAAAUGGCAGAGCAAAAUGUGAACACAGCGCUGAUGUUUUUGAUUUCAUUUUUCUGCAAAUUUUUUUCAUGCCAGUAAUAAAUUAUAAAAGCAGAGCAUGCAAAAUACUGAUUACAAUAAAAUUAAUUAUCUAUACAUUACAAUUUACUGUUCCCAGUAGUGACAUGGUAAGUACCU